UCGGGAAUUUUGGACAAUGGGCGCAAGCCUGAUCCAGCCAUACCGCGUGAGUGAAGAAGGCCUUCGGGUUGUAAAGCUCUUUCAGACGGAAAGAAACGGUUACGGCUAAUACCCGUGACUAAUGACGGUACCGUAAGAAGAAGCACCGGCUAACUACGUGCCAGCAGCCGCGGUAAUACGUAGGGUGCGAGCGUUAAUCGGAAUUACUGGGCGUAAAGCGUGCGCAGGCGGUUUGGUAAGACAGAUGUGAAAUCCCCGGGCUUAACCUGGGAACUGCAUUUGUGACUGCCAGACUAGAGUGUAGCAGAGGGGGGUAGAAUUCCACGUGUAGCAGUGAAAUGCGUAGAUAUGUGGAGGAAUACCGAUGGCGAAGGCAGCCCCCUGGGCUAACACUGACGCUCAUGCACGAAAGCGUGGGGAGCAAACAGGAUUAGAUACCCCCGUAGUCCCUGAGCGGCUGGCAAGGCGCAU
rnacentral:rRNA from 1 species